CGGUUGAUCCUGCCGGAGGACAUUGCUAUUGGGAUUCGAUUUAGCCAUGCUAGUCGAACGAGUUCAGACUCGUGGCGAAUAGCUCAGUAACACGUGGCCAAGCUCCCCUUCAGUCAGCGAUACCCUCGGGAAACUGAGGUUAACAGCUGAUACAAAACGCCAGCUGGAAUGCGGCGUUUCAGAAAGACAUCGCUGAAGGAUGCGGCUGCGGCCGAUUAGGUAGACGGUGGGGUAACGGCCCACCGUGCCAGUAAUCGGUACGGGUGAUGAGAGUCAGAGCCCGGAGACGGAAUCUGAGACAAGAUUCCGGGCCCUACGGGGCGCAGCAGGCGCGAAACCUUUACACUGCACGGGAGUGCGAUAGGGGAAUCCCAAGUGCGAGGGCAUAUUAGCCCUCGCUUUUCUCGACUGUAAGGUGGUCGACGAAUAAGAGCUGGGCAAGACCGGUGCCAGCCGCCGCGGUAAUACCGGCAGCUCAAGUGAUGUCCCAUAUUAUUGGGCCUAAAGCGUCCGUAGCUGGCCGACCAAGUCUACCGGGAAAUCCACCCGCCCAACGGGUGGGCGUCCGGUAGAAACUGGCCGGCUUGGAACCGGAAGGCUCAGAGAGUACGUCCGGGGUAGGAGUGAAAUCCCGUAAUCCCGGACGGACUACCGAUGGCGAAAGCACUCCGAGAAGACGGCUUCGACAGUGAGGGACGAAAGCUCGGGUCUCAAACCGGAUUAGAUACCCGGGUAGUC
rnacentral:rRNA from 1 species